ACACGUAGUCUCCACAAAUGCAAACCCCAUUGAGCUCAACGGGGCACCUCUGACCCUCCAGAUGUAGCUGGACUCCAACACCCAUCAGCCCCCCUCCAGUAAGGCCAAUGAUCAGGGAAGACGGGAGUUGUAGUCUAGCAAUACCUAGGUGGGCAAAUUACUCCGUCCCUGGAUUGUAUAGCCUUAGUGCACUGCAAACUCCUGUGGUCUGCGGUGCUUUUCCUCCGCCUUGGGAAUCUGGGUCUUGAUAAGCGCCGCAGCAGAGGCGAAACCGAUUUUUAAACUGGGUUAUUGUGCCGUGACAUCCCCUACCCCUUUAAUCAGGGAUCCUGGGGGUGUAGUAAGAAGCAGCGAGACUGAAACAUCAGGAAAUGAAGAAGGAAAUGGUGAAGAGGAGAGGAGCUGGCGGCGGGCAAAUCAAGAGAAACAGCAAGCUGGCUGGGGGGGAAAAAUCCCCGCCAAAGCAGCGUUCAUUUUCCGCUAAGAGCACAGGUAACGUUUGGGACUACAUUACCCAAGCGCCUUUCUUCCAGCAAGCCCCGCCUAUAUAUCUCUCUCUCCCCGCUUAUUGGUGUUGGCCUUUGGCGUUUUGCCGGACGCGUCGUCCCGAUUGGCGGAAAGAGCCUGCCACUCGGCGUUGCUACAGAGACGCCAGUCAAACCUGGGCGAAGGCGCUAUGGCCCCAGUGGACAGCUGCAGCCUCGCUCCCUGCUCGUGUUCUUUCCUGGCGCUUGCAAAGGAGGGAUCCGGAGUGGAAAGCAGAGCUGUUUAAAGAAGCUUUCCACUCCAGUCAGUGACUCAGAGGCAGAAGGCCACCCAGGGAGUUAAUGGCUGUUAUGAAGUUGAACCCACAUCUUCUGGACCAGGACCAACCCCUCCAGUUAUCUCCUUCUGCCAUCUAUUUGUGUUAGCCAUUUUGGCGUGCUGUUUUAAUUUUGCAGAUGUGAAGAAGAGGGGUUUUCCCUUCCUUUAUUUUCUGAAGGUUCAUACACACACACAAGUAUGUACUGUACUGUAUAUAUGUGUGUAUUAUUAUAUACAUAUACACAUAUAUACAUUUCAGCCUUUUAAAUAGAAUAUUACAGAUAGGUAUGGAGACCUACAAGUGCUGAAGUUGCAUUAUGGGAAGGGGUGGUCUGUUUGCCCUGUGAAAACCCAGGCUUCCCCCCCACCCUGGGGUGCCAAGUGUGUGUCUAGACAGUGCGGCUGCACGCGGAGGCUCGUUUGAUUGGAAUGCUCCCCAGGCUGAAAAUAUUCCUUACACAUAGAGUAUUAGAUGUUGGGGGAAGUCUAUGCUAGGGCUCUUCCAUGAUAUUAACCUUGCAGUCCUGUACUCGUCUCUUGGAAGUAACUGCCAUUGAAUUAAAUGGGACUUACUCCUGAAUGUAUAUGGCAGGUGUAGCAAGCCUUUCGGCCUUCUAGAUGUUCCUGAACUACAAAACCCAUCAGCUCCAGGAAGCUUGGUCAAUGGUCAUGGAUGAUGGGAGUUGUAGUUCAUCAACAUCUGGAAGGCCAAAGGUUCCCUACAUGCAAUAAUAGGGAUGGGUGAACCUGUCAGUUUUGUUUUUUCUUAGUUCCUCAAUUUACUUCCACUCUCCACAGUUCCACAUCUGUUGCAAAACUUUUUUUCAAGAGUCCUCAUGAAAAUUUGUUAGCAUCCUACUGAGAAUGUGUCCCGUUACAUGCCUUUUAAUAUGCAGUGUCCCUUAAAAUGCACAUUUUUGCAAAGCAAUUUCCCCUAACAUUAUGCUUUUUGGGGGUAUGUUAUUUUCACAAUUAUAUUCAUUUCAUGGACACUUUGCCCUUGUGCACUGCAAAAUUAGAAGGAUGGAUUUCACAGGAUUGCCAAUGUUUCUGUUCACUAUUUGUUUCAAAAAUGCAAACCUAGGUAGUUUGCUCUUGAAGUGUGAAUUGAAUCACAUUUCUCCCCCAUCUCUAAGUGCUGCUAACCCUAAUAAUUUUGUACAAAAAUUAUUUUAUUUAUUCAUUUUGGUGUCCAUGUACUGCUUCCUCUCAGUGAUUUCAAGGUAGAUUAAAAAAAGAAAUAGAAACCAGAUCAGGUGAGCAUAGACAAUGUAAAGCAAUGCAGAUAAAGUAACAGUUAAUAAUCAGAGAGUUUGAAGUAUUUAAAAUUAAUUUUAAGAGGCUGUGGUCUUUGCCUAGCAUUGGAUAAAGGACUAUGAAGUUGGCAAUGGGGUGUUGUAGAAUUCCUGGGCAGGAUGUUCUGCAGCUGGGCCAUAACUAUCCAAAAAGUUGCCUCCCUUGUUGAUGUUGCCUGUGAUGAAAGUACUACUUGUGGAAGAACAUGGUCCAAAGACCUUAGUGUUUGAGUGCAAAUGCAUGCUCCACUUUUUAACCCAGAGAUGCCUCAGGUGGCGAACCAUAAGGUAUAAAAGCAAUCUCAUUAUAAGAAAAUUAAAGAACAGUCAAAAACAGCCAAUUGGAAAAUAGUUUUGAGACAGACAGUGCCUAUUGCAAUAUUAAGGAAAUCAGCCAGCCAGACAAAACUAACAAACGCCUCCUGGAAUAUACAAGUCUUUAAUCAGUAGCAAAGAACAAAGCCAUUUGAGAGAGUUCCAGACAGAUUUCCUUGGGUGUAACUGGUGUAACUUUUGUUCCAUCAGCUGUAUUUCUGAGGAAGGUGGGAUCCUCAAAAGAGCUGCUUCAGCUGAUCUGUAAGGACAAGCAGGCUCUUCUGGGAAUUCCAAACUGUUUAGGAUAGCCUUCCCCAAUCUCAUGCUGUCCAGAUGUUCUUGGACUCCAGCUUCCAUCAACCACAGCCAGCAGGUCAGGGAAGAUGUGAAUCAGAGAUGAAGAUAUCUGGAAGACAGCGGCUUAUCAGCACCACGUUGAAAUGAGCCUGGAAACAAAAUGGCGGCCAGGAUGACCAAACAACAAAGUAGCUACAUAUUCUAUUGAACUGAUACUGAGGGUAGGUAUGGGCAAAUCUUGGUUAGUUUCAGUUUCUGUCAGUUUCUCAUUUGUCCAAUCAUAAAUUUAGUUAUCCACAUUCCUACAUCAAUUUGUGGCUAUUUAAAAUGUCCUCAUGAAAAUUUACCAGCCUUUUUGGUGCAAAUUUAUUCCAAUAUACACAUUUAUGUUUGUGAUUUCACCCCCUAAUAUCCAUAUCUUUGUAAAGCAGUUUCUCCUAACAUAAUGCAAUUUUGCAUGUUGUUUUGACUCAUACAUAUAUACAUUUAAUGCAUAUUUUACCUCAAUAUAUGCAUUUUUGUACACAUUACUUGACUGGAGAACUGCAUUGCAAGAUUCAGAGAUGCCUGUGUUUUAGUUUGAGUAUUGUAGUAAUUAGCAAGGUACCAGUCUCAGCUUCUUGGUGUCAACAUGUGCUCAGAGGUACCCAGUUCUGUAACUCUCAGACUGCAUCUGCCUGGCUGAGUCAUUGUUUUGCACCUAGAUGGCCUAGGUUAAGCCAGUGUAAAGUACACCAGAUCCAAACUCUGUUCAGGAAUGGAACCGCUGCUGGCUGAGCUGGCCUAAGCCUGGCAAAGGAAUGAGCAGGUCAGGAUGGAGUGGAUCUCUGACUCAGACACCUGAUUCCAGGCUCAGCUGGCAUUAAGUCCCCAGCCCUGGCUCAGCUAAAGAUACACCGACAUAACUUGCUCAUCAUGGCUCAGCUGGCUGAGCCAAAGCUAGCUGAGCCAAGGCCAGAGUAAAAGGGGUGUUUUGGAGGUAUGGCACCAGUGAGACCCAGGGUGGGUGGUGGGUAGGGCUUAAGCGAGAUCCUUAACUUGGUCAUGUGACCUGGCAACCAGGCAUAGGCCACCAUUUUAAAGGCAGCGUCCCUGCUGCUGAAUAAAGGUUGGAGGUGGUGUAACAGUACACCAGCUGAACUUAAACCAGUUUGCUUUACGCCAGUUUCUUGUGCAUAGGACACUUCCCUUGAAAUAGUGUUUGAGUUAUACCACCCUUUUUGGAAGCUUACCUAGUGGCUGUUUCAAAACAAGUGGGAGCUGCGACAAAAGGCUGUAGUGUGGAGUCUAGGCACACUGUUUAAUUUCCCAUUUUCUAUGUUUGAAAGAGGUGGAAGGGCUAUAGCUCAGUGGAAGAGAGUCUGCUUUGCAUGCAGAACAUCCCAGGUUCAAUUCCUGGCACUUCCUGAAACUUGGAGAGCUGCUACCAGUCAGGGCAGACAAUAGUGAGCUGGAUGGAAUGAAGGUCCUACUCAGUAUAGGCAGCUUUCUAUGUUUCCAUCUUUCCGCAAACACAGUCAGCAUGCCAUGGGCACUGAGCAUGCUCAGCCCUCAUUGGGCUGUCCCCCCCAUUUUUUAAAAAAAACUUUUGCAAACUUCUCUGAAGUCUGCCUCUCUCUUGUACACGAGUAGUGCUGUUUUGCUAUGUGAGUGACAGCACUCAUUGCCCAAAUGUUGGAACUAGAGGGAAGGAUAUAAUCCUUUUCUCUGUGUGUGUUUUUUUAAUCCCCUAACAAAAUCAGUAAAAUCCCAAAACAAACUGAAUUACAGUACAGGGUGUCCUAACAAAAUGGAUUGUUUUUGUCUCUUUGGGUUUUGAUGGGACUUGUAGUCCAACAACAUCUGGAGGGUACCAUAUUUACCGUACUUCAAGUAUUUGCCUCUUUAUAUUUUUCUGUCUCCUAUUCCCACUUCUGUCUGAAUUUCCCCCACUUCUUUUUGGCAGUCCUUAUGUGAAUUAUAUACAACUUAUUUUGGAGUCUCAUAAUUAUUUGUUCUUUCUUUCAUUACAAAAGAAAGAAAGAGAAUAAUGUUAAGACAUUUACUUAGAAGCAGGUUGGACAAGAGAAGAGAGACGGUUUUCCCUUGCUUGGAAAGCAGCACAGAAUUUUUUUUAAGCUGGGUGAAAAGCAAAAACUGGCUGUCCUGCUUUGAAUUAAAUCAAUAUGCCGGUUGCUGAGUGAUUGGUGUAUCAGGCAUGUUACCCUGAGAAGCAGGUGUAACAGCUCAGAACACUUUUUUCGUCCUCUGCAGCUUUCUCUACGCUUGGGAGUGUUUUCGUUGGCCUUUGAUAAGUGCUUAAGCUUUGUCCUGGAGGUUGGAACGGUUCCACCAGUUUGUUCCGACAGGCAGAAAGUCCUUGCCCAAGACUGCCUCCCUUCGUUUCAAUUGACGCCCUUGUUUGCUAAGGGCUGUCUCCGGUGCUUGUUACCCUCCGAGUAGACCCACUGAAAUGGGUGAUGUAGGCCUGUAAAUUCUGAUUGGCCUACUCUGCAAAAACUUAGUUGGCUGCAACCCAGAAGCUCCGUUGUAUAGGUUAGAUUCUGAGAAGCUGGCGUUUCAUGGGAAAUGCCCAUUGGUGUCUCCUUUACCUUUGCAACUCUGCAUGAAUUUUGCACACCCAUAGCGCCGCCUAGGAGAAUUUGAAAAAAACUGAACUGAGAAGAGUGAAGGAUUACGGAAAGUGUUUGUGUUGGCGUGUGUGUGAGUGUGAAGGGGGUAAAUGCAACAAUAGGGAGCUUCCUUUUCAGCUGCUGUUCUGUUAGCAUUAUUUUAUAGGAUGUAAUUCUUUUAUAAUUGUUCUACUGAUGAUUUGUGAAUGGUGUUAUUUAUUAAUUAUAUUCAUUUAUAUCCCACCUUUUCACCUGACUGGAACUCAAGGCAGCUCAUGGAAAUUAAGACAACAUAGGUGUGGUUUGCACGGCUUUCCUAAGGCACACAUGGAAGUUGUUCACCAAAUGAAUGGAAGUGAAUGGAGGCAUGGCACCACCAUCAUUUAU